UCAGACGUGCAGACGACGGCCUGAAUCACACAAUGACGUAUGUUCGUUGGUGUGGUAAAAUUCACGCCGUCGUUCGCGCAUCCAUCGUCUAAACGUAAGGGAGGCUCGGCUGGAACGCAAUCGACACAGAUCUUUCUUUCAGUGAAGUGAAGGUCAUCAUGAAGAACUAAUAAUGGUGAUCAUCAACUUAAGGCCCUUUUAGAUGUUGAUAUUUAUGUAAUAAGAUUAAAAUACUUUCAUUACGACCCUCUUAUGUAAAACAAAAUUUCAGUUUAAUUUAAAAUUUAGUUUG